AGAACGCUUUUGCCCGUUCCUACACUUUGGUCAUGUGACAUUACUCGGAACGUCAUCAUCAUGGCAGAACACCCGGCUGAGAACGAAAUAAAACAGAUAUUCAAACGUUUAUUAUCAAUACCAACAAAUAAGCAAUGUUUUGAUUGUAGUCACAGUAAUCCAACAUGGGCAAGUGUGACGUAUGGAGUAUUUCUAUGUAUAGAUUGCUCUGCUGUGCACAGAUCACUUGGUGUGCACGUUACAUUUAUACGCUCUACUCAGUUGGACACUAAUUGGACAUGGCUCCAACUGAGAGCUAUGCAAGUUGGAGGAAAUGCCAAUGCCAGAGCAUUUUUCCAGCAACAUGGAUGUACCACAACAGAUGCUCAAAAAAAAUACCAUAGUAGAGCAGCCACUCUAUACAGAGACAAAUUGGUGUCUUCAGCUCAGCAUGCUAUGAGACAGCAUGGUACUAAGCUUCACAUUGAAAGUCACCAUGAAGCUGUGACACCAGAAAAAAAAGAAGUGGAUUUUUUUUCUGAACACACUCUUGAAGCUAAAGAUGAUUUUUCACCAUUCCCCAUGGAAGACAAUGCUAGGUUAGGUGGAGUCUCAACACCCUCACAACCUAAAACAAUUGGGAAUGGAAAACCAGAAGAGGAUCCGACAGCAGGUCCCAAUGUAGAAGCAGCACUGAGCACAUCACCAUCACAAGCUUUGAGUCAAGCAGAGCCCCGCAAAGGUAUAAUAGGGGCUAAGAAACCUGCUUCCGCCAAAAAGGGUAAGGGUCUUGGGGCUCAACGUGUACAAAAAGACUUUAGUGCCAUUGAGAGCAGAGCUCAACAGGUAGAUAAGGAAAAAGAAGAAUUGGCUAAGAAUGUUGCAAUAGCAGAAGCAAAAACAAAAGAAGAUCAAGAAAAACAAAUGGCCAAUAUGAGACUGGCAUACCAAGAUAUGAGUCUUCAGCGGAAGAAAGAAGAAGAAAAAUUAAUGAAAAAUGACCCCAAAAAAGCAGAACAAUUUGAACGUCUAGGAAUGGGUUUUGCUGGAAAUAAAGGUAUUAGUCAUUCAGCUUUGUCAGACAUGCAGACCAUAAGUCAGGAAGCCCCAAGUGGAGGGAGCAAUGCCUCCUCCAGACGAGACUUUGAUGCUUAUGGAGAAAAGCCUCGAGGGGGCAACCGUAAAGAUUUCUUUGAUGAUGAAUUUGAAUUUGUUUCCAGCUUAUCUUCUAGGCGUGAUGACAACAAUUCUAAAACUGAUGAUUAUGGUGGUUGGGGCAACAAAAAUAAAAGUGGUGGCUGGGACAUUGACAAAUUUGACGAUAAACCUAGCCCUUCAGAGACCAUUUCACAGAAAAGCAAUGACAGCAUAGCAUACGAUGAAGACAAAGAAAAUGAGGAAGAGAAUGAAGAUAACUUAAAAGAUGAAUCUUGGUUCAGCAGAAGCAGAAAAAAUCAAGAAUCAAAUUCAUCAGCAAGUUUUGAUAGUAGUGAUACAGCCCAGAAGAAAUUUGGCACAGCAAAAGCUAUUUCAUCUGAUCAGUUCUUUGGUAAUAGAGAUAAUGAUUUCGAAACAAGACAAAACUUAAGUCGGUUGGAAGGCCAGUCAUCAAUAUCAAGUGAUGACUUCUUUGGUGGUGGCACAAGCAGCAGUCGAAGACAAACCUAUAACAGUUCAGCUCCAGAUCUUCAGGAUAUCAAAGACGGUGUCAAGCAGGGAGUCACAAAAGUAGCAGGCAAGAUUUCGAGCCUAGCUAAUGGAGUCAUGUCUAGUCUACAGGAAUGGGGUGAUGACUUCUGACCAAUGUAUGUGUGGGUCAGCUUUUCUUGGGUGCUUUCUUGGAGAAAAGCUGACCCAAUGACCUACCCAGAGCAUGUGAUCGCUAUGGUUGAUGUAAAGACUUUACUAUCUUUGAUCUGCCACAGCUGACUGAAUGCCAUUACUAUCAUCUUUGGGAGACUUUACUCAUGGGUAUGGAUAUACUGCAAGCCAACAAAUGUAUUUUAUCUGUUUUGAGUAAAGAAAAGAAAACUGCAUUUCAGCAAUUUUUUUCAUUCAUUUUGAUGUUAUGUUAGAAUAGCUACAAAAAAUAUGGUCAACUGAAAAGACAUUUAGUGGAUAAAUAAGGAUUUCUCACUUUGAUAAAAGAGCAUUAAAAAAGUUGUUUGAUGUAGACAGUCUAAUAAAAAUUAAAGUUUUUUUUGAGAUGGGGGAGAGGAAGGCUACAUAGUCCAGCUAUCUAUACUGACAUAAUUUCUUAUGUUGUUUAUGUGAUAUAUUGAUAUUGUUAUGUAUAAGUACUAAAAUAUGUUUGCAUCUUUACAUAGGAUGUAUCUUUUAAAAGAAGUUAGAUAAUACAUUUUAGGCAAGCCAAAUGCUAAGAGUGUGAUCUAUUGGAGUGUUAGAAAUUUUAUUUAAAUAUCAGCUUUACAACCUAUUUCUGGCUUGAAAAUAUAGAUGUUAAUCACAAGAUUUUCUCCUAAAUUGAAUCAAUUUGUGUACAAUUUAAAAAUCUCAUUUUGAUUAUUUUCAACAUUUUUCUGCAUGCUCAUUUAACUAGGCCCCUAUCUAUAAAUAUUUUUGUAAAACCCCCAAAAAACCAUUAAGUUGAGUAGAUCAUCAGUUUUUGAUAUAUGGCCUUAUCUUCAUUCAUCAUACACAUUUAAUACUGAAUUCUUUUCUUGUGUUAAGUAAGGCUACAGCAUUGGUUAAAUUUUAACUGCAGAUUUUAAAGACUAGUUUCUUUUUUAUAUGUAAGCUGCAAAUCUAAAAAGCUAAUUUAUUUUGAAUGAAAAAUGUUAAUUUUUUUUAGCUUUGUUUUUACAUUAAUCAUAGUUUCAUCAUCGAGUAUCAAAAUGACCCAUUUAUUCACCACUGGCAUUCAUCACUUUGUUAGAUGAUUAAUGACCUGUAAACUAUUUAACUUCAUUUUCUUUUACUUAAAGCAAACUGGGAUUAUUAUAUAUAGACUUUAAAUUAAAUUUAUGCAAAAAUUAAUCUUUUCAUAAAGCAUCCACAUAUAAUUGAGACAAACACUUAGAAGCCACAUAAAACUAACCACUAAACAAAAAUAUAUACUGAAAUGUUGAAAUGUGGGGCAUGUGUUAGUUUUCUUUCAUAAAAGAGGGACACCACACACACAUGUGGAUUUUUACCGCAUCUGUUAAAACAUAAACCCUGUUUUAAUAAUCUUCUUUGGUCGAUCUUUGAGAUCUUUUCUUUCUACAACCCAUUAAGAAAAAAGAUCCAUGCCACUAAAACCCUCCACAAAUGACAAUUGACAUGAUACGUAUUCAUGCUAAUAACAAAGUGUACAGCCUACAUCCAAAUAGGUACAAAUAACCACCUUAAGAAUAAAGUGUCGUAAAAUCGGCUUUCAGAAUUAUUUUUCAAUACAACUGGAGCAAAUAACUUAAGUUUCCAAUUUUUAAAUUGUACCUGUUUGCUAAUUACAAAUUUAAUGUGUUAGAUUUUGGGUUUUAAAAUUACAAUGUAUGUAGUGAAGAAUAUUUCUUGGUGUAAAUACUUAAAACUGUAAAGAUUUUAAUUUUAACUUUGGUCAGAUCAUAAUUAUCUUGGCAGUGACAUGUUAGGCAUUUGUAAAUCUUAAAUAGUUUCACCCUGAUGAUGAAUUCCAUUUAGUUUAGGUAGGUUAUUUCAUAAUGUUAUUAUUGAUGCUUUUUUUUUUUCAUGGAGGGGUGUUUUCAUUCAAUAAAAUGUAUAUUUAUGCUCAA